rnacentral:rRNA from 1 species
UACGUAGGGCGCAAGCGUUGUCCGGAAUUAUUGGGCGUAAAGAGCUCGUAGGCGGCUUGUCACGUCGGGUGUGAAAGCCCGGGGCUUAACCCCGGGUCUGCAUUCGAUACGGGCAGGCUAGAGUGUGGUAGGGGAGAUCGGAAUUCCUGGUGUAGCGGUGAAAUGCGCAGAUAUCAGGAGGAACACCGGUGGCGAAAGCGGCUUCCUGGCCCGACACUGACGCUCAUGUACGAAAGCGUGGGGAGCAAACAGG